AAUUCAAAAUACAGGAACAGAAUACAUUUGGUUUCGCCCAUAAUUUUGCACCCCACAUCAAUUUUUCUAACGGCAAUUGAAAUUCCUCAUCUCACUCCAGCACCGUCGUCAUCAGCGGCUACUUUUUAAAAAUAGUAACCAUCUCAUCUCCUACUUCGCGCCGUCGUAAUCAGUGAAUCAAACCUCCGCCGUCCUCCUCACUUUGCAGAACGGGCAUCCUCCUGGCGUCCUCUUCCUUCUGUUGCCGUCUCGGUCUUCUCCUUGCGGUGGAUCAUCAUCGCUGUCCUCUCUCAGUCAAAUGGUACAAGCUUAUGAAAGAAUCAUACAUCCAUAUGAUAUGACAUGAUGAUCAAGAGAAUACUUGAAUGGUUAUUCCAGAUGCUCAUAAGCAAGACCACAAUCAUUUGUUUGACUAUGAAGGUACAUAUUUCUAAUUUCAAUCAAGUUUUUAUGAAGGUAACCUUAUUUAUUUUAAGGAUUCACUUAUGGUUUCAUUUCUUAUUUGAUUAGCCCAUUUUUUUAAGAUUUCUAAUAUCAGGUUUAGUCUUUUCUUGAAAUUAUUUGGUGUUAUAGGCUAUGUUUUUAUUCAUUCAACACCCCAUCUCUAGGUUAAUGGUGAACAAGCAUACGUGUAUUCUUAAGAUUUAUAAUUUGUAAUAUCAGGUUUAUUUUUUUAUCAUUCAGUCAACACAAAAUGAUGAAAUUUUGAUUUAUUGUGUUUGGUUAUAAUGGCACCACAAUCUAUUUACUGCAAAGAGUAAAAGCAAGAAUUUUGGAUGAGAUAACGGGCUUGUUUGUUUUAACUUUAAAAAAAUGGAUUUUUUCUUUGUAUUUUUUAAAAUAGAUUUUCUAAAACCAAUUUUCAAAAUAUUACAAGUUUUUUUAUAUUUGUUUUUUCUAAAUUGAAACACUAAUUUUGACAUCAUAUAACAUAAACAUACAUUAUUGAAUAUCAAAACAUAGUUAAAAUCACAAUUUUUUCAAAAAGUUGUAUUUCAAAAAUGAUUUUUAUGAAAAUCUAUUUGAAAUAGCUUCAAAAAGAAGUGAUUUUUCGAAAUUUUGAUAUCCAAAAAAAGUUUCAAUAAAAUGAUCAAAUACCUAAAAUCACAUUUUAAGAAUAACUAUUCAAACCAAAUUUUCAUUUGAAGCUUUUAUAAAAAAUUUCUUUGUAAAUUUUUUUUACACAAAAUUAUUUAACACUAUAAGAAUCUAUUUUAAAAAAAUUAUAACAAACAGGUCCAACAUUGGAAUAACAUCUUUUAGGUACAAAGAAGCUUUGCAGCAAAUUCAUAAUGAAGAUAAAAAAGUGGAGUCUAUAUAAUUAAACACCAUGAGAGAAUUUCAUGGAGCUCGAACCUUAAAUGAGAAACAAGUUGAGAUUCUUCGAAUGACAUCGCUAUCAUUUUCACAGAUUAGAGAAUGCAAUGAUAUAUCUCUACAACUUUUAUGUUCAUCCUUAACCCACCAGAUCAUCAUAUCUCUUCUGUAGACACAUUAUUUUUAGGAAUCUACUUUUUAGUUUCUUCUUGGAAAUAAGUUGGAUAUGAGGAUAUAUUAAAGAACUGGCUUUUCCACCGUUGAAAUGGAACAUUCUUUUUUAAGCUGUUAUGGUAUAUACGUUAUGUGAAGGGUCUGGCUUGCGUAGUAGAAGUCCUUAAAAUAAAGCAUUGAUCAUUAGUGGCGUGGAGAAGAAUGUAUGGCCUGCAAUUGCAGAAGGAAAUGUUAAGCAUGUGGUCUACAAAUCAUUCCCUCUCGCUGAAGCUGCGGAGGCUCACCGGCUUAUGGAAAGCAGUUGUGGUAAAUAUUCGGUCGAUGUACACGACACAACAUACUUUUGGAUAAUUUUGAGUUUGUACUUUGUACCUCAGUCUUAAAUAAAGUUGUGGUUUACAACACAAUUUACUGUUAUUGUGUAUUAGGGAACUGUAAAAUACUACCAAUGAGCACUUAAAUACUGCCAAAUUAGCUUUUUAGAUUAUAUUGGUUUAAUUCUUUGUACCUACAACUGUAAAAUGUUUCAUUCUCUUUGAUGACAGGGCUAAGAAACUAGAUUGUAUUAUUAAUUGAAUUGUUUAUGACAGGACUGAGAAAGAUUGUUACCAUUGUUUCAUUCUCUUUGAUGAAUGAUAUCAAUCAAAUUGGAUU